GCUCUCUUAGUUUUAGAUUCUUUGGAAGGAUUUUACGACGCCGAAGUGCCAAAUCACGAUGUAAAGAAGGAUGCAAACUUAUUGGGUCUUCGCCGGACCUGCAUCAUGUUGAUGGAGUGUUUAAGUGUUCUGCUAAGCAACUCAGAGAGUGUUUCUGAUGUGAUUUCAGAAGAUAUCAAGGACAAGGCAAAGGCAGUUGCUGAAGAGUGGAAACCAAGAUUACUUGAUAUAGAUGCCAGCAAUGGGAACUCCUUAGAGGCUCAUGCAUUUUUGCAACUUAUAGCUAGUUUUGGUAUUGCGUCCAAUUUUAAUGAGGAGGAAUUGUCCAGGCUGAUUCCAUUGGUGUCUCGGCGUAGACAAGCUGCCGAUUUAUGUCGUUCCCUUGGGUUGUCCGAGAAGAUGCCUGGUGCGUAUAUGUUCACAUAUAAUAUCAUCAUGGAUUAUUUUGCCAACCUAACGGAUUGCAAUGCAAUGGUGAUGGGCUUUUUAAUGUGAACCAAUGACCUUAGUUUCUUAGUAGCAUCCCAUUGUGGUUUUUAACUUGCAAGUAUGAUGCAUGAAACUAAAAUUUGCAUAAAUUGCAUAUUUAAAUUUAAUGCUUCGUUUUACUUUUGGAUGUGCAGGUGUAAUCAAAGUUUUGGUGGACAGUGGCCGCCAUAUUGAUGCAGUUAACUUGGCUUUUGCAUUUGAUCUCACAGAACAGUUUUCUCCUGUGCCUUUACUGAAGUCUUACUUGGAUGAUGCUAGAAAAUUUUCUCAUGUCAAAAGUGUUAACUCGUCUCCCACUGCACAGGUGUGUUGUAUAGUUUCUUCUGUUAUGUAUUUCUUCCCUUUGUUUGUUUCCUUUAAUAAUUUGAACCAUAGAUCAGAAAUAUUUUGGAUUCUUUUGAUAUUUAUGUCCUGUUCCAAUUGAGGUACCCUAAUAGUCUCAUUGCCAUAAUGAACUAUUGACUUUGGUAGUCGCAGAGGAAUUUUCCUUGUUGUAAAAACUAGUUGUGUAGUAAGACUGUUGAAGAUUAUAUGUAACAGUGACAGAAAUUCUUACCCUUGAGCUUAUAUUUCUUUGGUGCUAAAGCUUCAUGAAAGCCUUAGCAGUCUAAAAGAACUUGAUUGUAGAGUUUGUAGUCUUGGGUGAGUUUUAUUCGUGUGAGUUGUUUGACUAACAAAUUAUACAUCUUAACUACAUUAGGGAAAGACCGAGAUGUGAACCCAACUAUCUGAUCAUUCAGUUAUUUAAAUUAGAAUCUUAAUUCAUGAGAGUAGUAUUAGGAUUUUUGGUGGUUUCUGGAAUUCACCUUGAGUUGCUACGAAACGAUUUGAUAAAAGAUCCAAGUAUGUGCGACUUCAAUUGAGUACACGUGUUGGAACUCGAGAGAUGAUAACACAUAUCAAAGAUGAAUUCACUCUCGUAAUUAAAGUUCAUGAAAAGGAGCAAAACAUGGAUUUGCGAGUGUAAAUGCGGUAAAGUUUAUUCUAGGAAUUCUUCCUAAAUUAAAUUUAAAUCAUUUUUAAUAUUUUCGUAAUUAUUCUUGUCAACUGUUCGAUUGAUCUAAAUUCAAUUUUAUUCCUUAUUUCAAUUAAGUAUAAAUUAAUCCUUACAAUUAAAUGAACUUUUCAGUCUUCAUGAGAUCAAUAUUUUAUUACUUGACUACAUAAUCGUGCACUUACAAUUUGCCCUAUCACAUUUAUUCUAUAGAUGUUACAUAAAUUUAAUAUAUAAAUGAAGAAUAUUUUUCCCAUAUCUUUAUUCUUAUUGUUAUCUGAGUCUUAUAUAUAUAUAUAUAGAGUUGUGACCCUGUGAUUAUGAUAAGUGCAGCACACAUAGAGAAGAAAAUGGAAUUACAAAUUUCUCUUUCUUUCUCUUCUUAAUGUAUUUCUAUCACUAUCACAUCAAUCAGAAUAAGGUUAACUCUCUCUCUUCAUUUUCCUUAUUCUUCUAAUGCUUCAUUUCAAUUGUUUUGUUGAUUUUGCUCCACUUUCUUUUUUUAGGGUUUUUUUCUUUAUUGUCACUCAAUAUUUUGAUCGUAAUUCCAGUUUUAGUUAGUUUUCAACUAAACAAAUUAUAAAGAAAUGAAUACUUGUCCAAAAUUUUGAAGGAUUUAAGUAUACCGUUUAAGGUAGUGAAGUUUGUGGUCUUGGAAACAGCUAGAAUAGAGUAAGAUUGCGUACAUAUAGCUUACUUAGACUCGAGUUUUGUGUAUUGGGUUGUCCUUUUGUUUAAAGUAAAUACCCAUUUCGGUCUCUCAGGUUUUUUCGAUCUUACCAACUUGGUCUAUCAAAAAUUGAGAAACCUAAAAUAGUCCCCCCAAAUUUCAAAUGUGGGUCAUACUAGUCCUUUAUAGGGUUAAAUUAGUCCGUGCUGUAAGGACUAAUUUGACUCAUAUUUCAGAUUUUUGGGAACCAUUUUUGGUUUUUCAAUUUUUUCAGAGAAAGUAAGCUCGAAAAACAAAAACAUGAGGGACCGAAUGAGUAUUUACUUUUUUUAUUGUUGUAAUUUACGUUAGCUAUAGAGUUUUUGUAGUAUUAUAUUGACACUAUAAUUUGUCACAAACUUAACCCUAACUUUACUAGAUGCUGUUCAUGUUUGUGUUCAUUCCAAAUCAAGAUGAUGAGUAUUUGUAAUUGCUGAUAAGUGUUUAGGUCAUUGUACUGCACAUGCUUCCUCCUUUUGUAUGUUGAAUUUGGUAUUUAUUUCAUUAUUUUAGUGAUGGAGGACACAGAUUCAUUUGCUACACUGAUGGAUUCUACAUCUUCGAAGAUACAACAGCUCCAGAAGGCAUUUGCUGAACUUGAAAGUUAUCGAGCUGUUACGCUGAACUUGAAGUGGAAAGAACUCGAGGCACAUUUUCGUGGACUUGAGAAAUCAUUGAAGAGACGCUUUCAUGAGUUGGAAGAUCAAGAAAAAGAGUUUGAAAACAAAACAAUGAAAGCUCAGGAAAUUGUCAAGAAGCGUGAAGCAGCUGUUGUUGCCAAGGAGCAAGCUACUUUGCAGAGGCUUCAAGAGAAAAGGGACGCUGCCGUUUUCGCCAUUGUAAAUGCUCGAGAAAAACACAGGAAAGUUUCAUCAAAGGGAAUUGCUAUUGUCUCAGAUGGGGAUGAGGGUCAUGGGACACCAGAAGUGGAAGAGAAACCCAUGAAUAGUGCGUGUGUUGCUGCCGAAGUCAACUUACAAGAUGUGAAAACUUCUCCUGGAAUUGCAAAUGUGGAGUCCAUGUCUUAUCUAGAGUUGGUAAAACUUUGCGAAGAGAUGGAUGCUGGAGGAAUUCACAAGUUUAUUUCUGAUAACCGUAAGAACCUUGCUGCUAUAAGGGAGGAAGUACCACUAGCAUUAAGAGCUGCUCCUAAUGCUGCUCUCUUAGUUUUAGAUUCUUUGGAAGGAUUUUACGACGCCGAAGUGCCAAAUCACGAUGUAAAGAAGGAUGCAAACUUAUUGGGUCUUCGCCGGACCUGCAUCAUGUUGAUGGAGUGUUUAAGUGUUCUGCUAAGCAACUCAGAGAGUGUUUCUGAUGUGAUUUCAGAAGAUAUCAAGGACAAGGCAAAGGCAGUUGCUGAAGAGUGGAAACCAAGAUUACUUGAUAUAGAUGCCAGC
rnacentral:lncRNA from 1 species